rnacentral:lncRNA from 1 species
CAGAACGUGAAAAUAAAGAAGAUGUCGAAAGGCAAUGAGUGCAUAAUAGAUAAUGACGAAAGAAUUGUAGUCAAACAUGUUUAAAAUAAAUUACUAAAACUUAAAAAGAUAAUAAUGCACAUGAAUAAAUUAAACUAUUUGAAAAUUCAUUCAUUCAUUCAUCAUGACAGGUUUUUAAUACCCAAACUUUGAUACUAUGCAAAUACCAACCUAAAAUAAAAAAUAAAAAAAAGAUCAAGUUGUCAACCUCAAUUAUAUAAAAUUAGCGAAGUUCAACAUCUACUGAAACAACGACCAUGAGUCAAAUGAUAGGGUGGC